CACUUCAAUGCCAUCGCCUUGGUGGAGAAGGCUCUGAAGUGUACCCAUGGCAUCACUGCCCCCAGUAUGAUCUCAGCUGUCCUGUGGUGGAUGUACCAUUAUUCCCAGCUCAAGGGCACCUGAGGGGACGCAGUCAUCCUGGGUAUGUCCAGUCUGGAGCAGCUGGAGCAGAACUUGGCCUUGGUUGAGGAAGGGCCCCUGGAGCCGGCUGUUGUGGAAACCUUUGACCAAGCCUGGAACCUGGUUGCCCACGAGUGCCCCAACUACUUCCACUAA
rnacentral:lncRNA from 1 species